AUUGAACGCUGGCGGCAUGCUUUACACAUGCAAGUCGGACGUGUGGCGCACGGGUGAGUAACGUAUCGGAACGUACCGAGUAAUGGGGGUUACCUUUCCGAAAGGUCAGCUAAUCCCGCAUAUUAUUCGAGCGUCCGAUGUCUGAUUAGCUGGUUGGCGGGGUAAAGGCCCACAAAGGGGACGAUGAGUAGCGGGUCUGAGAGGAUGUGCCGCAACACGGGGACUGAGACACGGCCCAGACUCCUACGGGAGGCAGCAGUGGGGAAUUUUGGACAAUGGGCGCAAGCCUGAUCCAGCAAUGCCGCUUGUCUGAAGAAGGCCUUCGGGUUGUAAAGGACUUUUGUCAGGGAAGCGGUACCUGAAGAAUAAGCACCGGCUAACUACGUGCCAGCAGCCGCGGUAAUUC
rnacentral:rRNA from 1 species